UUUACGUAGAAAAUUUUGUUGAAGGCCAAAGAAACGUUCAACAACAUUCUUGAUAUAUAGAGACAUACGUAUAUUUCCUUCAACAUUUCAAGAAAAGGGCAGCACCGUGGUAGGGGAAACAUUUCUCCUUCAACGGAGUAAAAAUGUGAAAAAUUAUAAAAGGGUUAUACCCACUUCCGUGUGAUAGCUUCGAAGUGAAGUAAGGUGAAAGAAAAUUAAUUAUUGCCAUAUAAGGAUUAGCAUCAACAUUAAGACGAGUUCGUUUUGGGUUUAUAUUGGCGACUUAAGGUAUGUAAAGCUAACCCUUCCUUCUUUUUGGCAUGAUCUUUAUGAAACAAACAGACGAUGUAUAUAUAUGACUCCAAAAUAACUCAUAUUCUUAGAGCCACUAGAAUGACUAAUGUUCUUGACUUCCAGAGACUAUUUUAUUAUGUCUUGAUACGCGUAUAUAAUUCCAGAGGUUCUAUUUUGAUAUAAUUCACAGUGUCAUUCGAAAGGUAUUUGAUAUGACUAUUGUCUUGGUUUUCAAAUGAAGAUUCGUUUUGAUUAUUCUAUUGAGUCUCAGAUGUGAUUUAAUUUGCAUAUGGUUUCUCACUACUCUGCUCGUGCAUGCCUCAAUACAUCUUUCACUGAGUCCCGGGCCAGGACAUGUUUUCGUGCACAGAUCCACUGCAUUAUUCACUAAGUCCCUCACUAAAGGGCCGGGACACGUUAUAUAUAUAUGUAUAUGAUGAUAUGGGGAUGGCGGCCAGGAUGACACAUGAUGACCUUAUUCACCGAGUCCCUCACUAGAGGGCCGGGACACGUUAUAUAUAUAUAUACAUAAUGAUGAUAUGAUUUUAUUUACCGAGUCCCUCACUAGAGGGCCGGGACACGUUAUACAUAUGAAUAUGAACAGAACGAUUCUCUAAUGGUGACAUUAAGUUUCAUAACGAGCUAAGUCUGAUAUUGACACCAUGAUUUAUGAUUCAAAGGUAAGCCUUAUGGUUUUCUGGUUAUUGUACUGGUGUUUUGUACUCCUCACUCCCAUAUGAUCAUGUUUAUUGUAUUUAUGCUUUACAUGCUCAGUACAUAUUCCGUACUGACCCCCUUUCUUCGGGGGUGCUGCAUUCAUGCCCGCAGGUACAAAUGCUCACGUUUGUAACCCGCCAGCUUAGGAGUCCUAUUCAACUAUCUUGGAGAGCUCCCUUGUUCUCGAGCCUAGAUUUUGGUACAGAAUCUCUUGUGGUGUAUAUGUAUUUUAUCCAGGGGUACGGCGGGGCCCUGUCCCGUCAUAUGAUACUGUUGUUACUCAUAGAGGUCUGUAGACAUAUGUGUGGGUUGUGUAUCGAUGUUGUUCAGUUGUGUCUAUAUGGAUUA